rnacentral:rRNA from 1 species
UACAGAGGGUGCAAGCGUUGUUCGGAAUUAUUGGGCGUAAAGCGCGUGUAGGCGCCUUGUAAGUCUCACUGUGAAAGCCCGGGGCUCAACCCCGGGAGGCCAGGGGAUACUGCGAGGCUGGAGACAAGCAGAGGUUGGUAGAAUUCCGGGUGUAGCGGUGGAAUGCGUAGAGAUCCGGAGGAAUACCAGAGGCGAAGGCGGCCAACUGGGCUUGUUCUGACGCUGAGGUGCGAAAGCGUGGGGGAGCGAACAGG